rnacentral:lncRNA from 1 species
UUAUCCAUGCUGAUUUCAAUGUGCACUGUCAGCCCUGCAUAUCCUUGCAUCUGGAAUUUUUCUAAAAAAUAAAAAUUGCCAAAAAAAAAAAAAAAAAAAAAAAAAAAGAUGAGAUCUAUGCCCCUACUACAAUUCAGUUACAUUAGGAAGAAAGCUGGGAGGCAUAAAAGGUGCUGAAAUCUACUGAAAGAAGAAAUCAUCUACUUCUACUGAAAGGCAGAAAUCUUCUUCCAGACCCUGAUGGCAGAGUCCAGUACAGUGUCCUUGAAAAGUCCUAAAUGCCCUUGCUAAUCUGAGAGUCACACCACACAGAGAAGAACAAAACCAGAGUUGUUUUAGUCACUUCUGAGACUGCCAGAAUACUCCUUUGUGUCUCCAGGUGUAGUGCUCUGGAUCAGGAAGGCUCUAUGCCUGGAGAUGAACCUACAAACUCUGUUGGUAAAUUUCUCCUAACUUGGGCUGAAUCUGCACCAGAGAAGUUCCCCUGGAGGUGUGAGAAAUUAAUCGACAUAAGGACUGGAAAAGAGAGAGAAGGGAAGUUGCAGAAGACUGUCUGAACAUAUGAUAGCCAUCCUUCUUACUAUAAAGGGGAGAUUUUUCCUGAUGAACUGAAAAUGUAUCAACAAAACUCCUAUGGGGACUCAUAACAGUGAAAUUAGAAAUGAAGAUUUACCUUCACUGCAAAAUACAGAUCCUGGUCGGAGACUGAAGAGUGCAUUACAGUUUUCAAAGGUGGGCAUGUGAAGAGGGAGGCUACUGGGUUUUAGGAGAGCUUCCUGUUUUGUUUUCUCUUAAGAUAUUACAGCUGUCUUUUCUUCCUUUUUCUGUACAACCUGUAAUACCAAGAAGAACUCUUCUGCACGAAAAUCAACUGCUGAUUUUCUUAAAAUUUUAUUGAUGCUGUCCUGAAGUCAUGCAAAGCUGUAGCUGUGCUCAAGUGACUGAGAAUUUAACUACAUGUUGUGUAGCAUGUUGUGGGAUGUGCUACAGAUAUAGCUAAACAGUCACAUGUUAAUUAUACACACCUUAUAGAAAAAAAAACAAACAAAGGAAACAGAGUGAAAUAUUGUGCUAAUAGUAUGUUAUUUUAAUAUACAAAUAUUU